CCGGCGACCAGGCCACCCGCCGCCGGGAGCUCGCCGCCUUCUUCGCGCAGACCUCCCACGAGACCACCGGUUACUGCUGGGUGAAGCAGCGGAGCCCGGCCGGCGAUCAGUACUACGGGCGAGGCCCCAUGCAACUCACUCACGAGCACAACUACCGGCGAGCCGGGGACGCGCUGGGGCUGGACCUGGUGAGGAGGCCGGACCUGGUGUCGACCGACCCCGUGGUGGCCUUCAAGACGGCCAUCUGGUUCUGGAUGACGCCGCGACAUGGGGCGCACAAGACGCCGUCGUGCCACGCCGUGAUGACCGGCGGUAGUUCAGUGCUUGAAGCCGAGGAAGACCUCCUCCGCCGACUUGCGACGGAGGCUGUCAUUCAAAAAAAAAAUCAACAUGUAUUUGUUUUUUUUAAAUUGUACUAUUUAUAAAAUGUUGAAAAACAUAUAUUUGAAAAAUUAUUAAUCAUA